UACAGCCAUAACACGUUCAAAACACCGGUUCUCGUAUUAUCACCGAAGUUAAGUAACGUCGAACCUGGUCAUUAUCUAGAUGGGUAACCGUUUGGGAAUACUAGGUGCUGUAA